UUAAGGAACCACAUGAACGAGUAAGAAGACUCCUACUUUGGGAUCAUUGUUUCAACCAGGGCAAAAAUACAGAUUACUGAAACAUUCAGGUAUUUGAAUUGUAAAGAGGGACUCAGGCUAGGACCUCAGAAAGCCUGCUUCAUUGAUGGAGGAUUAAUAUAAGUAUAUUAAUAGGU
rnacentral:lncRNA from 1 species